UCUCGGCCGUUGAUUACGGCAACAUAAAUACAGAGAAAUGGAAGCUUACAAAAACUAGUUUCUUCUAUUUCGCUUCUUUUCCUACGGCUCUCUUCAACUUUCUCCUUCUCUCAAGCUAGGGCAAAGUGCAUUUCAGCUUGAUUUGGAUCUUCGCUCAGUCUCUGUCAAGAAACACAAGGCAAACUCCAGCGGCUAAGGAACACUCAUCGUAUUCAGGUCUGUUCACAAGUUAGUUUUUUGCAUCAAUAUUUGGCCAUGGAUUUAGGGAUUACUCGUCAUAUAAAAUCUCUGUUCGUGUUAUUAUAAAAAAAUCUCUAUUCAUGUAAUGAACACAGCUCUUAUAAAGAAAUGGAGCCUCCUAUCAUAUGAGUUACAUUCCCAAUUCAUUAUUCAAAUAUAUGUGAAACACAAGGCAAACGACAUGCUCUAACGGCGUCAUACUCAGAAGGCAAACGACAUCUUCAGCGGCUAAGGAACACUAGCCAUAUUCAGGUUAGUUUAUAAGUUACUCAUUUUUUGCAUCAAUAUUUGGCCAUGGAUUUGGGCCUUUGAAUUUGAUCCAAACCCAUCCUUCAGAUAUUACUCUUUUGAAUUAUACAAAAUAUUAUAUAAAAU